AUUGAACGCUGGCGGCAGGCUUAACACAUGCAGGUCGAGCGGGGGGAGGUAGCUUGCUACCGGACCUAGCGGCGGACGGGUGAGUAAUGCUUAGGAAUCUGCCUAUUAGUGGGGGACAACAUCUCGAAAGGGAUGCUAAUACCGCAUACGUCCUACGGGAGAAAGCAGGGGAUCUUCGGACCUUGCGCUAAUAGAUGAGCCUAAGUCGGAUUAGCUAGUUGGUGGGGUAAAGGCCUACCAAGGCGACGAUCUGUAGCGGGUCUGAGAGGAUGAUCCGCCACACUGGGACUGAGACACGGCCCAGACUCCUACGGGAGGCAGCAGUGGGGAAUAUUGGACAAUGGGGGGAACCCUGAUCCAGCCAUGCCGCGUGUGUGAAGAAGGCCUUAUGGUUGUAAAGCACUUUAAGCGAGGAGGAGGCUACUUUAGUUAAUACCUAGAGAUAGUGGACGUUACUCGCAGAAUAAGCACCGGCUAACUCUGUGCCAGCAGCCGCGGUAAUACAGAGGGUGCGAGCGUUAAUCGGAUUUACUGGGCGUAAAGCGUGCGUAGGCGGCUUAUUAAGUCGGAUGUGAAAUCCCCGAGCUUAACUUGGGAAUUGCAUUCGAUACUGGUGAGCUAGAGUAUGGGAGAGGAUGGUAGAAUUCCAGGUGUA
rnacentral:rRNA from 1 species